rnacentral:lncRNA from 1 species
AACAAUUUGAAAAGUUAUUGAAGCAUCUGCAUUGGCCAUCACAUACUGGACAGCAUUAAAGGAACUUCAGCGGAAAUUUAUGUCCAGUAUUGGAAAGUGCAUUCAAAAAUAAGACUCAAAGAGAGUUCAGAUGAGUGCUACAGGAAACACCUACAAAACAUGACCUGAAGGUACUGGAUAGAAUUCAGUGCAGUCACUUUGGAUCUCAGACAUGAAAGAUCCCUGGGAUUCACUGGCACAUGGAUGGAAAGCUAAUAGAAAUCUGUUAAUACAGUAACAGGAAAUGAGUGCCUAUUAAAAAAACUUGGUGACAUUGAAACCAAAAUGGUAAUGAAAUUACUAAAUUUGGUUCAGCCAUAGUUAUUGAGCUGUAUAUUGAAAAUAUAUAUAUACAUAUAAAAGUCUUGCUGUAAGUUGUUGUAUACAUUCUUAUAUCUUAUAUUAUGCAUGCCUGCAUGAAAGUAGUGAUACUUUUA